GGGGCUGCGGGUGGGGACCAUGGGGCACUGGCAGAGUGGGAGGGGGCAGGGCUGGGAAAGCAUGGGCUGCGGGUGGGGACCAUGGGGCACUGGCAGAGUGGGAGGGGGCAGGGCUGGGAAAGCAGUGGGCUGCGGGUGGGGACCAUGGGGCACUGGCAGAGUGGGAGGGGGCAGGGCUGGGAAAGCAUGGGCUGCGGGUGGGGACCAUGGGGCACUGGCAGAGUGGGAGGGGGCAGGGCUGGGAAAGCAGUGGGCUGCGGGUGGGGACCAUGGGGCACUGGCAGAGUGGGAGGGGGCAGGGCUGGGAUAGCAGGGGGCUGCGGGUGAGGGGCACUGGCAGAGUGGGAAGGGGCAGGGCUG